CCUACGGGAGGCAGCAGUGAGGAAUAUUGGUCAAUGGCCGCAAGGCUGAACCAGCCAAGUCGCGUGAGGGAUGACGGUCCUAUGGAUUGUAAACCUCUUUUGUCAGGGAGCAAAGGGAGCUACGUGUGGCUUUUUGCGAGUACCGGAAGAAAAAGCAUCGGCUAACUCCGUGCCAGCAGCCGCGGUAAUACGGAGGAUGCGAGCGUUAUCCGGAUUUAUUGGGUUUAAAGGGUGCGCAGGCGGAAUGUAAAGUCAGCGGUAAAAUUUCGGGGCUCAACCCCGUCGUGCCGUUGAAACUGGCGGUCUAGAGUGAGCGAGAAGUAUGCGGAAUGUGUGGUGUAGCGGUGAAAUGCAUAGAGAUCACGCAGAACUCCGAUUGCGAAGGCAGCAUACCGGCGCUCAACUGACGCUCAUGCACGAAAGCGUGGGUAUCGAACAGGAUUAGAUACCCUUGUAGUC
rnacentral:rRNA from 1 species